rnacentral:tRNA from 1 species
UCCCUGGUGGCUCAGACAGUAAAGCGUCUGCCUACAAUGUGGGAGGCCCGGGUUCAAUUCCUGGGCCGGGAA